rnacentral:rRNA from 1 species
UACGUAGGGCGCAAGCGUUGUCCGGAAUUAUUGGGCGUAAAGAGCUCGUAGGCGGUUUGUCGCGUCGGCCGUGAAAUCUCCACGCUUAACGUGGAGCGUGCGGUCGAUACGGGCAGACUUGAGUUCGGUAGGGGAGACUGGAAUUCCUGGUGUAGCGGUGAAAUGCGCAGAUAUCAGGAGGAACACCGGUGGCGAAGGCGGGUCUCUGGGCCGAUACUGACGCUGAGGAGCGAAAGCGUGGGGAGCGAACAGG